rnacentral:ncRNA from 2 species
UUAUCAUCUGGUGAUGAGGUCCACCAUCAAUCGCCCGGAUCCGGGCUGAUGACUUCUUGUUUUGA